rnacentral:lncRNA from 1 species
ACGGCAACAGCUUUACUCUCUCCACCGUAUUCGGAUCGAGAGCUACUAUUGUCGAUUGACCACGGCAGCGGCAUUCAUCGAUCGGCGAUUUGCUGCGGCACGGCCUUUGUCCACGCGGCGGCGGCGACCGCCACACUCGCCAGCCGAAGGAGCAGCGAGGCAACUGCACCACGGCGCACCGCUAGCUAUGACUCCUGGCCACCGGUGUUGAUACGAUGAAGAACGACGGUUGAUCGGGCGGGAUGCAGGAUCAGCCAUCUGGGUUUCUCCGACGAGCCUGGUGAAUACUAAAAUCCAUACACGGCAACAGACUUGCAUAAGGUAAACCAUGCCGUUCUUAAUCCUUAUUCAUCCUGUAGUUAUCUUUCCAUUUUACUAUUGAUUACUAUUGCAGAUCGAGGACUAACUUUGUAUAUGUCGUUAGAUCCGUAUGUGCAUGUAGCCAUUUCCCCUCCUUCAAUUCGAUGAUCAGUAGGCCUGAUGCAUGUUUCUAUUCAAUUUUUAUUCCUCUGGUAAUCCUAAUGAUAUAUAUGAAGCCCCUAACUAACUUUGCUCCAUACAGAUGCGUGACAUAUACCAAGGAUCGAUGGUGGCCAACGCCCGACAGUAUAUGAAUUGCCGAUUUGCCAGUAUUAAUUAAAAUUCUGUCCAAAGCAGCUUGUGCAGUUCGAGAAUUGGGUAUAUUGUAGAUUCAUUUAUUUCUUUUUCAGAAUGGCUAAAUGUAUCAUGUGAAUCCAUAUACUGCCUGGAUUGCAAAUUCUAUUGUGAACAUAAUAUGAUUCAAUUUAUUCUAAAUCGGGUAUUGUAAAACAACUAUUUUGUUCUUUAAAAUCUCCUCCCAGUCUUAGUUCUGAU